GGGCCCGCACAAGCGGUGGAGCAUGUGGUUUAAUUCGAUGCAACGCGAAGAACCUUACCAGGGUUUGACAUCCUGCGAAUCUCUUGGAAACAGGAGAGUGCCUUCGGGAACGCAGUGACAGGUGGUGCAUGGCUGUCGUCAGCUCGUGUCGUGAGAUGUUGGGUUAAGUCCCGCAACGAGCGCAACCCACGUCUUUAGUUGCCAGCAUUUAGUUGGGCACUCUAGAGAGACUGCCGGUGAUAAACCGGAGGAAGGUGUGGAUGACGUCAAGUCAUCAUGCCCCUUACAUCCUGGGCUACACACGUGCUACAAUGGUAGGUACAGAGGGAAGCCACCCCGCGAGGGGGAGCGGA
rnacentral:rRNA from 1 species